GACAGUCUGGUGAUGAAUCUCAAUUAGAGUACUAAGCUUUUAAGAAAGAUUCUAUGCAUACAUCAUACAUUUAAUAAAAUAUAUCUCUAAAACAUGCUAAGAUUUGGAUGUUCAAUUGGGUUCAACCUUUGAUCCGACUUGAACCAAACCAAAAAUUCAUGCUUGAUCACAAUCAAGACAAUAAUUUAACCUUUGAUUAUAUA
rnacentral:lncRNA from 1 species